CAGUCGCCACGGUAAUACAGAGGGUGCAAGCGUUAAUCGGAAUUACUGGGCGUAAAGCGCGCGUAGGUGGUUUGUUAAGUUGGAUGUGAAAUCCCCGGGCUCAACCUGGGAACUGCAUCCAAAACUGGCAAGCUAGAGUAUGGUAGAGGGUGGUGGAAUUUCCUGUGUAGCGGUGAAAUGCGUAGAUAUAGGAAGGAACACCAGUGGCGAAGGCGACCACCUGGACUGAUACUGACACUGAGGUGCGAAAGCGUGGGGAGCAAACAGGAUUAGAUACCCCUGUAGUCCCUGUCUUAUACAC
rnacentral:rRNA from 1 species